rnacentral:rRNA from 1 species
CGGCGGACGGGUGAGUAACGCGUGGAUAACCUGCCUCACACUGGGGGAUAACAGUUAGAAAUGGCCGCUAAUACCGCAUAAGCGCACAGUACCGCAUGGUACGGUGUGAAAAACCCAGGUGGUGUGAGAUGGAUCCGCGUCUGAUUAGCCAGUUGGCGGGGUAACGGCCCACCAAAGCGACGAUCAGUAGCCGACCUGAGAGGGUGACCGGCCACAUUGGGACUGAGACACGGCCCAA